rnacentral:pre_miRNA from 1 species
AAUAAACGAAUUUCUAAGAUUUUGAUAGAAUUUUUGACUCUUCGUAUUAUUUGGAAUUGUUUUAAGAUUAAUAUUUUUAUUGUUAUUACAUGAUAAAACAUGAAUAAUACCUUACGAGUGACUAAUUUUUUUAGCUUUUUAAUAAAAUUUUCAAAUAAGACGGAUGGUCAAAUGCUCAACCUAGGAAUCUCAGAAAUCUUCUUUUU